rnacentral:rRNA from 1 species
AUGUUGUUUGUACACCUGCACACGGAAUUUUUAGGGUUUUGGGAGUUGUUUCAUGUUGUUUGCACAUCCAUUUUCUGCAGGACUGGCGACUCGCGAGGGUUUGCCUUCGUGAGGUACAAGUAUGAGGACGAGGCGCAGAAGGCAGUUGAUCGCCUGGACGGGAGGUUGGUGGACGGGAGGGAGAUGAUGGUGCAGUUUGCCAAGUACGGGCCAAAUGCUGAGCGGAUUCAGAAAGGGCGAAUCAUGGAAACGGUCCCGAAGCCAAGGGGUCGUUCCAGAAGCCGCAGUCCAAGACGGGGGUACCGUGAUGAUCAUCGGGGCAGAGAUUCUAGAAGGCGAAGUCGGAGUCGGAGUGGAGAUAGAUAUGGACGUGACAGGUACAGAGAGAGGGACCAUCAUCGUCGUAGCAGGAGUCGUAGCACUAGUCCUGAUGAUUACAAGAGGCGUGGCAGAGACAGAAGUCCUAGUCGUAGCAGGAGCCGCAGCUACAGUCCUGAUGAUGACAGGAAGGGUGGCAGAGACAGUUUGUCGCCCGCACGCAGAAGCACUAGUCGCUCCCCUCGCAAGACACCACCUCCUCGCAAGACACCACCUCCUUGCGAGGGGUCUCCUGCUAAGCGCAAUGAUGACCGUUCUCCUGUUAGGCGCAAUGAUGACCGUUCUCCUGUUAGGCGCAAUGAUGACCGGUCUCCAGGCUCUCGUAGCCCUUCAACAUGA